AGCUGCAGAAGCUGAGAAAUCUGCGUAAGUAUACCCAUACUUUUAUUUUGAAAUUCCAGCCCACUCAUAAGACAAUACUUUGUUUCCCUAUUGGCCAGUUCUACAUUGUUAGCUACUCAAAAGGAGCAUACUACAUUCAAAUGGCUGCUCCACUUGAAACUCUCAUUGCAAAUUUAAGAGCCUAAAGAAUUGUCUAAUUUAAAGUUUAAUUUUUCAUUCUUUCAAAA
rnacentral:misc_RNA from 1 species